UACAGAGGGUGCAAGCGUUGUUCGGAAUUAUUGGGCGUAAAGGGCGCGUAGGCGGUGCGGUAAGUCUGUAGUGAAAUCUCUGGGCUCAACUCAGAGUCUGCUGCAGAAACUGCCGUGCUUGAGUGUGGGAGAGGUGAGUGGAAUUCCCGGUGUAGCGGUGAAAUGCGUAGAUAUCAGGAGGAACACCAGCGGCGAAGGCGGCGCUCUGGGCCGGUACUGACACUGAGGAGCGAAAGCGUGGGGAGCAAACAGG
rnacentral:rRNA from 1 species